rnacentral:rRNA from 1 species
GGGGGUUACGGAGUGAGGCUCUGGGUCACCUCCCACCCGUGUUUAUCGUACCUUGUUGCUUCGGCGGGCCCGCCUCACGGCCGCCGGGGGGCAUCCGCCCCCGGGCCCGCGCCCGCCGAAGACACACAAACGAACUCUUGUCUGAAGAUUGCAGUCUGAGUACUUGACUAAAUCAGUUAAAACUUUCAACAACGGAUCUCUUGGUUCCGGCAUCGAUGAAGAACGCAGCGAAAUGCGAUAAGUAAUGUGAAUUGCAGAAUUCAGUGAAUCAUCGAGUCUUUGAACGCACAUUGCGCCCCCUGGUAUUCCGGGGGGCAUGCCUGUCCGAGCGUCAUUGCUGCCCUCAAGCACGGCUUGUGUGUUGGGCUCUCGCCCCCCGCUUCCGGGGGGCGGGCCCGAAAGGCAGCGGCGGCACCGCGUCCGGUCCUCGAGCGUAUGGGGCUUCGUCACCCGCUCUGUAGGCCCGGCCGGCCCCCGCCGGCGUACACCAUCAAUCUUAACCAGGUUGACCUCGGAUCUUGUAGGGGUUACCCGUUGAUCUUAAGCAUACGCGGCACGCGGAGGAAUUUUCUUAACUCCCUUCAACACCUUUCCCGAUCUAUCACCCAUCACCCUGUAAUUCCCUCCUUUACAGCCCCGCUCCAGCUCUAUUGGAAUGACUAAUUUAAAAUUGACUUCAGUUUUUACUAAUCAAUUAACUUAAGUUAGUUAAGCUAACGAGACACUACCGCGCUCACUUACUUCUUACACUCACUCACAUGUUCUAGUCUAAUAGUCACAUCUAUAUUAUCGA